AGAGSGUGWMRAGCGUUAAUCGGAGUUACUGGGCGUAAAGGGCGCGUAGGCGGUUCGUUAAGAUUGAUGUGAAAGCCCUGGGCUUAACCUAGGAAUUGCAUCGAUGACUGGCGAGCUGGAGUACUGUAGAGGGUAGUGGAAUUUCCGGUGUAGCGGUGAAAUGCGUAGAGAUCGGAAGGAACACCAGUGGCGAAGGCGGCUACCUGGACAGAUACUGACGCUGAGGCGCGAGAGCGUGGGGAGCAAACAGGAUUAGAUACCCUGGUAGUCCACGCUGUAAACGAUGAAGACUAGAUGUUGGUGAGCAAGACUCAUUAGUAUCGAAGCUAACGCGAUAAGUCUUCCGCCUGGGGAGUACGACCGCAAGGUUA
rnacentral:rRNA from 1 species